CAGUAGCGUAUAUUAAAGUUGUUGCAGUUAAAAAGCUCGUAGUUGGAUUUCUGGUGGGAGCGAUCGGUCUGGCGCUUAGCGCGAGUACUUGCAUCGUCUCCGGCCAUCCUUGGGGAGAGUCUGUCUGGCAUUAGGUUGUCGGGCAGAGGAUCUUCAUCGUUUACUGUGAAAAAAUUAGAGUGUUCAAAGCAGGCUUAUGCCGUUGAAUAUAUUAGCAUGGAAUAAUAAGAUAGGACUUUGGUACUAUUUUGUUGGUUUGCGCACCAAAGUAAUGAUUAAUAGGGACAGUUGGGGGUAUUCGUAUUCCGUUGUCAGAGGUGAAAUUCUUGGAUUUACGGAAGACGAACUACUGCGAAAGCAUUUACCAAGGAUGUUUUCAUUAA
rnacentral:rRNA from 1 species